UACAGAGGUCUCGAGCGUUGUUCGGAUUCAUUGGGCGUAAAGGGCGCGUAGGCGGCGGGGUAAGUCUGGUGUGAAAUCUCGGAGCUCAACUCCGAAAUUGCACUGGAUACUGCUCUGCUAGAGGGCUGGAGAGGAGAUCGGAAUUCACGGUGUAGCAGUGAAAUGCGUAGAUAUCGUGAGGAAGACCAGUGGCGAAGGCGGAUCUCUGGACAGCUCCUGACGCUAAGACGCGAAAGCGUGGGGAGCAAACAGG
rnacentral:rRNA from 1 species